GCUGGGUUUUAUUUCUGAUAUAUUUGGCUGCAUAUACUCAAUCCUAUCAUUACUAGGUCUCACUUGGAAAAUAAUUGGAGUAAAACUUAAAAAAAAAAAAAAAGAAAAAAAAUUGAAACUUUUAGUAAAAGCCCAUUGUCCCAUCCAACGAAACCCUAGACCAAAAGCCACCCAAGCAGAACUCAGGAUCAAUGUCAUGCACUAUUGUUGGAAGCUUAAUUGGAGAAUCCACCAAAAGCUAGAAAGGAGAUCUUCUGCCAGUGCCUCAACUCGCCAAAGCAAGAUAAGCC
rnacentral:misc_RNA from 1 species